GAUGAACGCUAGCUACAGGCUUAACACAUGCAAGUCGAGGGGUAACGAGAGGGAAGCUUGCUUUCCUUGUCGACGACCGGCGCACGGGUGAGUAACGCGUAUCCAACCUGCCCCCAACUAGGGAAUAACCUUGCGAAAGUAAGACUAAUACCCUAUAAUUUCCUCAGAUGUCAUCUGACGAGGAAUAAAGAUUUAUCGGUUGUGGAUGGGGAUGCGUCUGAUUAGCUUGUUGGCGGGGUAACGGCCCACCAAGGCAACGAUCAGUAGGGGUUCUGAGAGGAAGGUCCCCCACAUUGGAACUGAGACACGGUCCAAACUCCUACGGGAGGCAGCAGUGAGGAAUAUUGGUCAAUGGGCGGAAGCCUGAACCAGCCAAGUAGCGUGCAGGAUGACGGCCCUAUGGGUUGUAAACUGCUUUUAUGCAGGAAUAAAGUUAGCCACGUGUGGUUAUUUGUAGGUACUGUAUGAAUAAGGACCGGCUAAUUCCGUGCCAGCCGCCGCGGUAA
rnacentral:rRNA from 1 species